UCUGACUUGCUGAGCGCUAGCGCACCCAGAAACCCUUUGUGAACUUAUACCUUACUGUUGCCUCGGCGCAUGCUGGCCCCCUCGGGGCCCCCUGGAGACAGGGAGCAGGCACGCCGGCGGCCAAGUUAACUCUUGUUUUUACACUGAAACUCUGAGAAAAAACACAAAUGAAUCAAAACUUUCAACAACGGAUCUCUUGGUUCUGGCAUCGAUGAAGAACGCAGCGAAAUGCGAUAAGUAAUGUGAAUUGCAGAAUUCAGUGAAUCAUCGAAUCUUUGAACGCACAUUGCGCCCUCUGGUAUUCCGGAGGGCAUGCCUGUUCGAGCGUCAUUUCAACCCUCAAGCAUUGCUUGGUGUUGGGGCACUGCUUUUAACGAAGCAGGCCCUGAAAUCUAGUGGCGAGCUCGCCAGGACCCCGAGCGCAGUAGUUAAACCCUCGCUUUGGAAGGCCCUGGCGGUGCCCUGCCGUUAAACCCCCAACUUCUGAAAAUUUGACCUCGGAUCAGGUAGGAAUACCCGCUGAACUUAAGCAUAUCUAA
rnacentral:rRNA from 1 species